AGAGCAUUCCACAGGAGGUGUUCCUGCUCUGAAUUCCCAGGCUCUCUGUGUUCCCGGGGAGGGAGCAAUGGCUCAGUUAGGUGUUACCAGAGUACCAGCAUGAAGUGGCCACUGAAUAAUUCUGAACCAAAGGCAUGGCUGUAGAUGAUUUACCAUCUGCAAUGAACCAACAGAGCUGGGACAUGACAGAAGACAGGGAAGUUGAAGCCUGAAGCUCCUUCUGUGGGAGGAGGGACAAGUAUCCAAGAAUCCCUGAUUAGCUGGAAUGUCCAUUUUGGUGCCUGUGAGUCAGUCUGGC
rnacentral:lncRNA from 1 species